UCGGGAAUAUUGCGCAAUGGGGGAAACUCUGACGCAGUGACGCCGCGUGCAGGAAGAAGGUUUUCGGAUUGUAAACUGCUUUAGACAGGGAAGAACAAAGACAGUACCUGUAGAAUAAGCUCCGGCUAACUACGUGCCAGCAGCCGCGGUAAUACGUAGGGAGCAAGCGUUAUCCGGAUUUAUUGGGUGUAAAGGGUGCGUAGACGGGAAAACAAGUUAGUUGUGAAAUCCCUCGGCUUAACUGAGGAACUGCAACUAAAACUAUUUUUCUUGAGUGUUGGAGAGGAAAGUGGAAUUCCUAGUGUAGCGGUGAAAUGCGUAGAUAUUAGGAGGAACACCAGUGGCGAAGGCGACUUUCUGGACAAUAACUGACGUUGAGGCACGAAAGUGUGGGGAGCAAACAGGAUUAGAUACC
rnacentral:rRNA from 1 species